GAGUUUGAUCAUGGCUCAGAUUGAACGCUGGCGGCAUGCCUUACACAUGCAAGUCGAACGGCAGCACGGGAGCUUGCUCCUGGUGGCGAGUGGCGAACGGGUGAGUAAUGCAUCGGAACGUAUCCUGGAGUGGGGGAUAACGUAGCGAAAGUUACGCUAAUACCGCAUACGUCCUACGGGAGAAAGCAGGGGACCUUCGGGCCUUGCGCUAUCAGAUGAGCCUAGGUCGGAUUAGCUAGUUGGUGGGGUAAUGGCUCACCAAGGCGACGAUCCGUAACUGGUCUGAGAGGAUGAUCAGUCACACUGGAACUGAGACACGGUCCAGACUCCUACGGGAGGCAGCAGUGGGGAAUAUUGGACAAUGGGCGAAAGCCUGAUCCAGCCAUGCCGCGUGUGUGAAGAAGGUCUUCGGAUUGUAAAGCACUUUAAGUUGGGAGGAAGGGCAGUAAGUUAAUACCUUGCUGUUUUGACGUUACCGACAGAAUAAGCACCGGCUAACUCUGUGCCAG
rnacentral:rRNA from 1 species